rnacentral:tRNA from 1 species
GCGUUUUUGGUUCAGUGGUAGAAUUCUCGCCUCCCAUGCGGGAGACCCGAGUCCGAUUCCCGGCCAAUGCA